UCUUAGUUUUUUUCAGCUUUUUAAAACUGUCUGAAUGUUUUUUUCUUUCGUUUUGCAUGAAUUUUAAAUUUUCUGAAUGUUUUUUUUCUAUUUCGGUUUGUAUGAAUUUAAAUUCUAUAAUAUUAUUAGUUUUAAAUUUCAGAUUUUAUUUAUUUAUUAAUUAAUUUUUCAUAUAAAAAAUAUAUAUAAAAAUGCAAAAUUAAUUCGUAUUAUUAAAAUUGACAUUUUCCGACGAACUAAGUUCUCGGUAAAUACCGACGGAGUAUGACUCGUCGGUAAAUACCGACGGACUAUGAUUCGUCGGAACAUACCGACGAAUGGUGAGUCGUCGGAAUUUACCGACGAAUCGUAAUCCGUCGGUAUUUACCGACGAGUCAUAUUCCGUCGGUAUUUACCGACGAAUCAGACUCCGUCGGUAUUUACCGAGAACUUAGUUCGUCGGAAUCUUCGGAGGAUCCGUCUCCGUCGGUAUAUAGUUUUUCCGAUGAACUCUAGUCUCGUGUGUCCGCAUCGGAAUAUUGUCGGAAGUUCGUCAGAAUGUUAUUUCUCGGUAUUCGUCAGAAAGUCGUCGGAAAUUCUGACGAAAUUCCGACGAAUUCUUUUUUUCCGACGAAAUGAUACCGACGAACGCCUUCGUCAGAAAUGCGUCGGAAUAGGCCUUUUCCGACGAACUUCCGACGAUUUUGGCCAUCAGAAUCUCUUUGUUUUCUUGUAGUGAAAUAACUACUAUCUUUGAAUGUAUAAUUGCAUUUACUGGUACUUGGGUUAUGUCAAAAUUAUAUAAAAUUAAUUUUUCUGGAUAUAUAACUGCAUUUCUGAUAUUUCGAGCAACCAUAUGGUUUUCGUUUCAGUUUGUUUGGUUCCCGUUUUCUAAAAUCCAUCAGGGUAUUUUGUCGGUUUCGGAUAGGUUGGAUUCCACCUAAUUCAGUUUGUAGGUGAGAAAAUAUUUACAUGCAUGUGAUAUGUAAUCUUGGUCUAAUCUCCAACGAAUAUUUACAUGCAUGCGAUGUUUACAUUCUUCUUUUGUUCAAAGAGUUUUUUUUUUCUUUUUUUCUCAAAGAGUUAUUUUACGCUCAUGUAUCAUGAAUAGUUAUGAUAAUGUGAUCUGUGGUCAGAUAGUAAUAACGGAAGAUUGGAUCUUAGUUACAUGAAAUGAAGAUACUCCAAGAUAAGUCAUCGUCUUAGUCUUUCCAGUUAGAGUGAUUGAUAAUGGGAAUUGUGAUUCUUAGUCAAAAUUGAGGAAUUAGUGGGUUAGUGAAAUAUCGGAUUAGUAUAAUGAUUUAAUAUCAUUUUGAAUAGAUUUUUGUAGAAUAAUUGUAAAGUGCUAUGAAAUAAUUUUAGUAGGUUAGUGACGUUUCGGUUUUUUUUAACAGUUUUUUUAAUAAAUUGCAGGAAAAAAAAAACAUACAAGCCCAAAGGCUUAAGUUUGUUACGGGCUUAACCCAGUAAAAGACUCUUAAGGAAACUCAUAUUGGAGGAACUAAAACUCAGUAGCAUUGUCAAGGCCCAUAGUGGAAGUUGUAACGGUGGAGAAGACAUAUUGCUUCAUUGUUUCCUUCGCAAGCAAUUAUGAUCGGAGAAACCAGAGUUGAGUCAUCGCCGAUGACGCCCUGGGAUUUGCAUGUCGGAAACUCUGAAGACGGUUACGAAUCUGCUCAUCAAUAAGUGAGAUCAAAGCUUCAGGCUGUUUGAAGAUAUGUUGAUGGAGUCUUGCGUUUCGCUCAGACCAAAGCCAGUAGAUCGUGGCUUGUGUUGCUAGCAGUAUGAGGCGUAGAGUGUCGCGAUUCGUACGGAGUGCCUGGAGUUGUAGGACAGUGUCUUCCCAAGAGGACAUCGAUCGAGUAGGACCAGCCAAGUCAUGAAGUUAUUAUGUCUCGGGAUUCCAUAUGAGAACCAGACGAUCUUUGCCCAGGGUACUUGUUGGCACUGACCUUUUAGGUGUACGUGGAGCGUCAACUGAUUCUCAGUUCUCGCCGGAGGGAGACGCCAUCGUCCACCAAUGAAGAGUGAUGCCACUGUUGUUGUCUUUGGGAUUCCUAGACGAGUAGAGUUAGCAUUCAAGAAAGUAUAGAGGUUCCCAAAUGGUGACCAGUUGUCAAACCAGAAGCGGGUGCUUUCACCAUUACCAAUCCGUUGUUUAAGCAACAGACCCAUACAAAUUUUGGUCGAAAGAAAAGCAUCCAAAUCAGCUUCAGUAUACACGCGAGGUUCCAACUAUGACAGUCUUUAACACCCAGUCCUCCCUGAUCUUUAGACUUGGACAAGAUAAAGUGGAACAUCAGAAGGUAAAGACUCUUGCUAUCACCGUUUUUGUCAGUAGUAGCCGUCCAGCGAAAUAAAGAGCUUUAGCCGACUAAGUAGAGAGACACUGCUUUAUCUGCUGUAUUAGAGGCUCACAAUUCUGGAGGUUCAGUUUCUUUGUACACAAAGGGACCUCAAGAUAACGCAUGGAGAGGCUUCCACACGGCAUACCAAUUGAGGCUUGUAUUACUGCAAUUUCUUUAUCUUAUCUGGAGGACUCUCUGAACAGAUUCCAUAAACCCAUCGAUGAAUAUCAAUAGGUCAUCUGCGAAAGAGAGAUGAGCCAACCGCGUUUUAUGGCAUUGAUGGUGAUAAGAUAAGUGUCUUGUCCUUGCUUCUUUAUCCAACAUCAUAGACAAGUAGUUCAUUGCGAUGAUAAACAAGUACGGAGACAGAGGGUCUCAUUGCCUUAGUCCUCUCUUGCCUUUGAAGAAACAACUUACCAUUCCAUUAUAACCCACCAUAAAUGUUGUUGUGCAGAUACAAGCUUUGAGCAGGCGAGUAAAGGGAGCAGGAAGGUCUAAGUUUUCCAAAGAUGCGAAAAGGAACUCCUAUGAUAGAGUAUCAAAGGCCUUUGCAAUGUCAACCUUGAUGGAAACCUGAAUCGAAGAACUCUUGGAUCAAGGAGAUACAUUCUUUCCCCAACAGUGACCAAGUAGCUUUGAGGAAACUGAUGUUAGGAGUUUUCAAGGCUCCUAAAACAAAUGUUGUAAUAUAAGUGAAUGUCGAACCAAUUCUAAGGGAUUUCAAUGCACUGAGAAUGCAAGUACUUACUUAAUCUAAGUACAACCGAUGAUUUAGAAGA